rnacentral:tRNA from 1 species
UAGAAGAUAGUGUACUUGAAGCACUAAGAGUUUUGAUCUCUUAAGAUAGGGUUCGAAUCCCCAUUUUCUAA